CUAAGAGACAAGGUUACAAUAACACAUCCACCUAUUUCCCAUUCUCUCCCCCAUCUUCCCACCCACCCUCCAAGAGGAAACCAUUCUCCUGAACUUUGUGUUUAUUAUUAUUAAACAAACAAAAGACCAUAGGCAUCCACAGAGGCAGGAUGGCUGCAGAUUCACUAACAGAAAUAGCUGUUUUCUCAAUUGAGUUGCAACUUCCUUGCCGGCAGCGGCGGGGUUUCCUCCUUUCCUGCAGAGCGGUCAGCAUGUGGCUGGGUACACAGGCCCAUCGGUGAAUCUUGGUUGGUGGGCUGUUUGGGGUCCCAAGGGCAGGAAGGAUGAGGACUGAAUGCUGGAAAGCGGCUCCAGGAAUAGGGGGAAGGGCUUCUGAUUGCCCUGCCUUGGGGUCUGUGUGACUUCUGCCUGCCCUGUGAGGUCACAGUAUUGCCCAGGUGACCCAGCUGGGUGGGAAAGCCCACUGCUUUUCCAGGUCUGAGCAGAGAGAGGGCCACUCCUGUCUUUACCUUCUGUGGGUGCCAAGAGCCAGUUGCCCAGCUGCUGACCCUGCCCAGCUGGCCAUGACCCAGAGUCCCCAUGGUGCCUCUGCUUAUAGAAUGUCUCCCUGUUGAGAAAGCCCCAGACCGUGGCCCUCUCCCUUCCCCUGCCCAGGUCCCAGAGCCCGUGUCUGGCACCCCUGAGACCACCUUGACGUUCCAUAAUGUUAGCCAACCGCAAGACUCCAAGGUGCCCAGGCCAGCUGUCUGGGCAGGAUUGAUCACCCAAUGAUACCAGUCACGGCGCAUAGCAACUCUGACAGAGGAGCUCGACCUUUACCGUGCUCGCUGGCAAGCCCACGCCCUUCACUGUGUCACUUAGCAAAGGCAUACAGGUCACUGAGGGCCCAGAAGACCCCAUGAAUACCUCCCAGAAGGUGGACUCUGUCAUCAGCCACCUGGCUCCCCCUCAUAGGGAGGCCAUAGCGGUCACUCUCCAUGGGGCCACCAACCUUCCCGCCUGCAAGGAUGGCUCUGCACCAUGGCCCUACGUGCUGGAGUCAGGAAGCAUACUUCUUGCAGCCUGGUAUCCGAGUGAGACCUGGUAUGUCAUGUACACUGCAUGCUUCCUGGACCUCACUUCUGCUGGAAGGGCAUCAAGGGGCGACAGAGUCUCCAUCCAACCAAACUUCUAUAUGGAUGGGGGGAGGGUAACAUCUGCUCAGUCUUGAUUAUAAAGCAUGUGCAGUAACCCCUCCGUGAACUUGCUAUCCCUUAGCCCCUCUGUAGACAAUGGGAGCCCUUAGGCCUCCCCACCAGGCUACCUACCCCUCCCCUCCCGCAGGCUCUGCCCACCUUUCCUUUGGGGGAGUGCCUACCCCAGCUGAAAUCCCUGUUCAGAGCCUGGUUUGUGCGCCUCCCCCUCAGGGCACCCAUCCUAGCUGAGCUGUCCCUGCUUUGGGACCCACAGCAGUGGCAACACUGGUCUGACAUACUUUAUAUAAACAAAAUUAGGUGCUGCUCCUCUGUCCCCCACACUGGGGUUUCCAAGGACAGACCCCCUCUCCCCCUCUCCAUUUCCCUAACAAUAUGCCCAGUAGAGGCCUGAGCAGGCUUAGGGGUCAAGGAAUACUGAGGCAAACAUCCUAGGUUACUAUGACAACAAGCCGGCCCAAGGCACCCACACAGCGAGUGGGACAGAGGAUGAGCUGGAGCCCAACAGGUGACACACUUGCUUGUCUCAAAAGCCGGGUUUCCACCGCCCAGCUCCUCAGCCCUGCCCGCCCCGCCCGCCUCCAUUUCCGUGCUAAGGAAGGACAGGUGGCUGGGAGCAGGCUUGGCGGGGAGCUCCCUUUUCCCCUCCGCUAUUUCCAUAAACCAAUUAUCGCCGAUCAUCUCGGGAGAUUGAGGCCCUGCCUAUCA
rnacentral:lncRNA from 1 species